AUGUAGACGUCUACUUUGUCCCGGAGACCGUCAGGGGCGAGGUGAGGAUGUAGACGUCUACUUUGUCCCGGAGACCGUCAGGGGCGAGGUGGGGAUGUGUUCCGCGUGUUGGGUGAGGAUGUAGACGUCUACUUGUUCCGCGUGUUGGGUGAGGAUGUAGACGUCUACUUGUUCCGCGUGUUGGGUGAGGAUGUAGACGUCUACUUGUUCCGCGUGUUGGGUGAGGAUGUAGACGUCUACUUGUUCCGCGUGUUGGGUGAGAAUGUAGACGUCUACUUGUUCCGCGUGUUGGGUGAGGAUGUAGACGUCUACUUGUUCCGCGUGUUGGGUGAGGAUGGAGACGUCUACUUGUUCCGCGUGUUGGGUGAGGAUGGAGACGUCUACUUGUUCCGCGUGUUGGGUGAGGAUGUAGACGUCUACUUUGUCCCGGAGACCGUCAGGGGCGAGGUGAGGAUGUAGACGUCUACUUGUUCCGCGUGUUGGGUGAGGAUGUAGACGUCUACUUUGUCCCGGAGACCGUCAGGGGCGAGGUGAGGAUGGAGACGUCUACUUUGUCCCGGAGACCGUCAGGGGCGAGGUGAGGAUGUAGACGUCUACUUGUUCCGCGUGUUGGGUGAGGAUGG